GACGAACGCUGGCGGCGUGCUUAACACAUGCAAGUCGAACGGAAAGGCCCUGCUUUUGUGGGGUGCUCGAGUGGCGAACGGGUGAGUAACACGUGAGUAACCUGCCCUUGACUUUGGGAUAACUUCAGGAAACUGGGACUAAUACCGGAUAGGAGCUCCUGCUGCAUGGUGGGGGUUGGAAAGUUUCGGCGGUUGGGGAUGGACUCGCGGCUUAUCAGCUUGUUGGUGGGGUAGUGGCUUACCAAGGCUUUGACGGGUAGCCGGCAUGAGAGGGUUACCGGCCACAUUGGGACUGAGAUACGGCCCAGACUCCUACGGGCGGCAGCAGUGGGGAAUAUUGCACAAUGGGCGGAAGCCUGAUGCAGCAACGCCGCGUGCGGGAUGACGGCCUUCGGGUUGUAAACCGCUUUCGCAUGUGACGAAGCGUGAGUGACGGUAAUGGGUAAAGAAGCACCGGCUAACUACGUG
rnacentral:rRNA from 1 species